CAGGGCUUAGAACGAACGCUGGCGGCAUGCCUAACACAUGCAAGUCGAACGAGACAUUCGGGUCUAGUGGCGCACGGGUGCGUAACGCGUGGGAAUCUGCCCUUGGGUUCGGAAUAACACUUAGAAAUUUGUGCUAAUACCGGAUGAUGACGAGAGCCCAAAGAUUUAUCGCCCAGGGAUGAGCCCGCGUAGGAUUAGCUAGUUGGUGAGGUAAAGGCUCACCAAGGCGACGAUCCUUAGCUGGUCUGAGAGGAUGAUCAGCCACAUUGGGACUAAGACACGGCCCAGACUCCUACGGGAGGCAGCAGUGGGGAAUAUUGGACAAUGGGCGAAAGCCUGAUCCAGCAAUGCCGCGUGAGUGAUGAAGGCCUUAGGGUUGUAAAGCUCUUUUACCCGGGAUGAUAAUGACUGUACCGGGAGAAUAAGCCCCGGCUAACUCCGUGCCAGCAGCCGCGGUAAU
rnacentral:rRNA from 1 species